rnacentral:rRNA from 1 species
UACGUAGGUGGCAAGCGUUAUCCGGAGUUACUGGGCGUAAAGCGCGCGUAGGCGGGUUGGUAAGUCCGCUGUGAAAGCCCGGAGCUUAACUCCGGAGGGUCGGUGGAUACUGCCAGUCUUGAAGGUGCUAGGGGGAGAUGGAAUUACCGGUGUAGCGGUGAAAUGCGUAGAGAUCGGGAGGAACACCCGUAGCGAAGGCGGCCGACUGGACCACACCUGACGCUGAGGCGCGAAGGCCAGGGGAGCGAACGGG